GACGAACCACACAAACGUUAUUCGGAAUUACUGGGCUUAAAGGGUGCGUAGGCGGCGCAGAAAGUAGGGUGUGAAAUCCCCAGGCUCAACUUGGGAACUGCAUCCGAUACUGGAUGGCUUGAAUUCGGGAGAGGGAUGCAGAAUUCCAGGUGUAGCGGUGAAAUGCGUAGAUAUCUGGAGGAAUACCGGUGGCGAAGGACGGCGAUCCUGGACCGACAUUGACGCUGAGGAGCGAAAGCUAGGGGAGCAAACGGG
rnacentral:rRNA from 1 species